ACGGACCCUUCGGGGUUAGUGGCGGACGGGUGAGUAACACGUGGGAACGUGCCUUUAGGUUCGGAAUAGCUCCUGGAAACGGGUGGUAAUGCCGAAUGUGCCCUUCGGGGGAAAGAUUUAUCGCCUUUAGAGCGGCCCGCGUCUGAUUAGCUAGUUGGUGAGGUAAUGGCUCACCAAGGCGACGAUCAGUAGCUGGUCUGAGAGGAUGACCAGCCACAUUGGGACUGAGACACGGCCCAAACUCCUACGGGAGGCAGCAGUGGGGAAUCUUGCGCAAUGGGCGAAAGCCUGACGCAGCCAUGCCGCGUGAAUGAUGAAGGUCUUAGGAUUGUAAAAUUCUUUCACCGGGGACGAUAAUGACGGUACCCGGAGAAGAAGCCCCGGCUAACUUCGUGCCAGCAGCCGCGGUAAUACGAAGGGGGCUAGCGUUGCUCGGAAUUACUGGGCGUAAAGGGCGCGUAGGCGGACAUUUAAGUCAGGGGUGAAAUCCCAGAGCUCANCUCUGGAACUGCCUUUGAUACUGGAUGUCUUGAGUGUGAGAGAGGUAUGUGGAACUCCGAGUGU
rnacentral:rRNA from 1 species